rfam:Vibrio genomosp. F10 strain 9CSC122 9CSC122_contig_1262, whole genome shotgun sequence.
UUGUUGGCUAACGGCAAGGUCUGAAGGAAGCCAUAGGAAGUUAACAGUACAUAACGCAAGUGAACCUGCUUCGGCAGUGUAGGUGGGUAAGCGUCCGAAAUAGCGCGAAGCCCAAUACUCAGUCAGACCUAUGCUGUGCUUGAGGAUGGCAUUGUUAACAGGGAGUCAGU